UUCCGUCCGGGCAUCCUAGUAAGACGCGGAACACCCGAUCCCAUUCCGACCUCGAUAUGUGAAAAGCGUUUUCUGCCAUAUGUACUGAGAAUUUUCGGGAGACGUGGUUCGACAGCCCGGACCC
rnacentral:rRNA from 1 species